rnacentral:rRNA from 1 species
UUAAAUAGCCGCUUUUGUGCUAAGGUAGCAUAAUAAUUUGUCUUUUAAUUAAAGACUAGAACAAAAGACUUAACAUCUUAAAUAAUUUUUUUAUAAAAAUUAUUUAAAUUAUCUUAAUUGUAAAAAGACAAUUAUUCAAUAGAAAGACGAUAAGACCCUAUCGAACUUUACUUUAGUUUAACUGGGGUAGUUAAUUAAUUAUUACUUUAAAAAAANNUUAAAUUUUUAAUUUGACCUAAUAUAAUUAAUAAAAUAAUUAAGUUACCGUAGGGAUAACAGCACAAUAAAAUUUUUUAGAUCUUAUUUAAAANUAAAGAUUGUGACCUCGAUGUUGAUUUAAUAUCCUAUUUCACGCAAUAGUAAAACUAAGGAAGUCUGUUCGACUUUUAAAAAAUUACAUGAUUUGAGUUCAGACCGGUGUAAACCAGGUCGGUUUCUAUCUUCUACAAAAUAUUUCUUCUAGUACGAAAGGACCUAAGANAAAUAAUAAUAUUAUCAUAUUGGCAGAACU